AAUAAAACUAUGAAGAGAAGAGUAAUUAAACUCAAUUUUUUUACAGAGAGCUUUAGAUGGUGAGAGAAAGCAAAAAACAGUUUGGUGAAAAAAGCCUCGGAGUUGUACACAGGAUCUUUACUUCACUAAAGUUUAUCUUAAAGUGAGGUUGCUUCUUAAAAAAGAAAGAAGUUUCCUUUAGGAAGAGAGAUGGUGUAACGGGUGCUCCCGUUAUAGAGCUAGGGUAUAAGCUUAAUAUAUUUUAUUGUAAAGCCGUACUUGAAAAGGUUAAUAUGGUGACAUAUUAAUAAACUGGGGUGGUACCACGAAGUUGAACUUACCAAACUCUCGUCCCCAAG
rnacentral:ncRNA from 1 species